CAGUCGCCGCGGUAAUGCGUAGGUGGCGAGCGUUGUCCGGAAUUAUUGGGCGUAAAGGGAGCGCAGGCGGACAUAUAAGUCCAUCUUAAAAGUGCGGGGCUCAACCCCGUGAGGGGAUGGAAACUGUAUGCCUUGAGUGCAGGAGAGGAAAGCGGAAUUCCCAGUGUAGCGGUGAAAUGCGUAGAUAUUGGGUGGAACACCAGUGGCGAAGGCGGCUUUCUGGACUGUAACUGACGCUGAGGCUCGAAAGCCAGGGGAGCGAACGGGAUUAGAUACCCGUGUAGUCCCUGUCUCUUAUACA
rnacentral:rRNA from 1 species